rnacentral:tRNA from 1 species
GCCCUUGUAGCCCAAUUGGUAGAGGCAGACGACUUAAAAUCGUCGCAGGUGCGGGUUCGAAUCCCGCCAAGGGCA